ACACACACACACGGUCAUGGCGAUCAAGUGGAAGGAAAAAGGAGGAGAAGAGGGUCCGCGCACGAACGCGAGGAAAAAGGCAGGAAAAUAAGAAGAACGCCGCGGCGCGGAGCGUCUUGCACGACGUGCCACGAUCAAGAUCGCAAGAUCUAACCGGCGGGCAUGGUGCUCAUUCGACGUGCUAUAUUUAUCGGUGAUCUUACUGAGUUUUCCGACCCCUACUGGACGAUACGGAGAUAUCCACGCGGAACGCAUACCACCUCGAUAUCGCGAUCCUCCCCACGCGGACGGAAGCCAUGCACAUACGUGCGCUUUUAUUUACAAUAACAGAAAGAGGAGAGGGAGGAGGGAAAUAUACGAGGGUGAUGAGGGAUGUGGGAGGGGCAAGAAGAAGAUACGAGCUCUCACACGUACGCGAGAACAAUGCAACGGACGCCUCCUCGACGUCGACGUGCGUGAGCAAGCGCGGGUGCAUGAUUCUGAAGGAUGCACACCCUACGUGCACACGGGAACACUCAUUAACGCUUAUCGAUAAUUACGUUUCUAUAUUUAUCACAUAAUAAGCAAGCCUAUCUCGCCAUUAGUGGCGUUCCCGGACGGCCGACGCGGCGGCGAGCCGCGCGGGGACAUGGUCUACUUAACUCGGCCGUGCUGCGGAGCGCCGCGACCAUUCGACUCGCGUUUUCCGUGCCCGGCCGCUCGUGGAUUUUUCCGGCGUUGAUGCUACCUCCCUCCGAGCUGCGGAAUAAACGAAAUAGACGUAUCGUACACAGCGAUACGAAAUAUGAAGUUUAUCGAGAGUCUCUAUGGUAGAUUGGUUAGCAUCCGCGAAGGCCGAAAGUCACGUGUAGAUGCAUCAUAGGAGGAUAUAUUAUCCCGUUGCAGCUCUCGCGACCGAUGUCGCCUCCGUCCGUGACACAGCGAACGAGCACGAAGGUCCCCUCGCUUCCAAUAGAGACGCUACCAAGAACGGCGUCUGCGUCCGUCGUCGUCUGUAAAUCUGCUCCACGGCGGAGAUAAAAACGGCACGGCGAUGCAUCUCCGCACGGCCAGUCACAUACUCCGCGCCGAGUUGAGCUCGUUAUCGGAUGCAGAUCGGAGAAGAAGAAGUGCGCGCGGCGCGGAGGCGCAAGAGAAAUUCUUGCCGCUGAAACGGGCGUACCGAAUCCUAUGACGUCCCUGAGACAUUUCCACGAAGGGCCCCGCGCGAGAUGAUUUACCGGACCUCGUCAUAAAACGGUACCGCCGCUCCACGCACGGGAGACACAAGAGGACUCUGAUUAUCGCUGGAGAUUGUUCGCACAAAGGGGGCCUCUCCUCUUCCUCGCGGAUGGAAGGGCCCCGAGAUUUAGAUAUUUACGCAGAGGAAAGGAGCAACGGACGCGGAGUCCGUGUCGCGACUCCGCGAUCAGGUUCAUUGUUGAGGGAUCAAGACGCGGGAUGGACCCUAAAUCAGCUGGAACGAACUCGACGAUCUCGACUUCCCCGUCGCAUUUUGCGCCGCGAUGAAGUAAGAGUGCGCGCCGACAGGAACCCGCUUUAGUCAAAUUUCAAGAACGCGUUCGAGGACCGCAUUGGUGGGCCGCUUGCAGUUUUAAGAGCGAGAUGUCGAUCGCUUUAACGUUAAUAAAGGCAGGAAUGUGCACCGUUUCACGCGAAUGAAACCUCUUCAUUUCACUUUUCGUUAUUGUUGAGAAUUAAAGACCUCUAAAGAGAUUAAGGUUUUCGUUCCCAAAGAAAACCUCUCCGCAUUUAACGCACAGAAAUUGUGAUUAUUCGUUCAGAUUAUUUGUUCCUGUCGCAGAGUCAAUCACGCUCAAAUUCAAACGUCUAACUUACGAGGCUCUUACGAGCGCCGUAAGUCAAGGCGCAGGCACCAAGCCAAGAAUCGCUCGGUUCGUUGUGCAAAUACCCGAGGAAACGGAGAGGAGACCGGUAGCGAGGUGGAGGAGCGUGGAUAGGAGGGAUACGAAAUGCGAAGGACCGAUCGAGACGGCGGCGGCGGCGGUGGCGGCGGCGGUCCCCGGGGUCGGGCUUGAAUCGCAAAACCCUAGUGCGUUAGUGUUAUUUUAAUCAGGAAAUAUAAUGAUCGCUGCCUCGCGGAGGACGACCGGGGUCGCGGUAAAGGGAGAGGGUGCGGGCAAACGCGAAGGAAGGUGGAAGGAAGAGAGGGUGGUUCCGAUGGCGUAGCUUGCGAACGCAGGUUGCCGCGCAUUUGUUACGGGCCGAUAGCAAUUGUUUCCCCUAUCUACGAGUUCCACUGCGACACUGCAGCCCACCACCAGUUUGGUUGGCUGCGUCGCCUGGUCGGGUCGCAGUGUAUACGUGAAUGCGUAUACAACCUGUACCUGUUUACUGUGUACUCAGUACUGGAGCGCGAGAAAGAGAAUGAGAGAAAGAGGAGGGAGAGAGGGAGAGAGAGAGGAAGAGUGGUCUUAUGUAAGCGGCGCCCCGACGCUGAGUAUAGAUUGUAUUCUAUCGGUACAUACGGUAAUGCUGCUCUGGCAUUGGUACAGGCUGACUCCAAAACUGUGAUUACUUCGGGAAAGGGCACGGCGCUGACCCAAUUCCAUGCGAGCGUUACAAUUAUAGCGCUCCUCCCGUCGCCUCGGUUAUUUUAUUUAAUUUCUUACUUGAUUCUUAUUUAUUCUUAUUUAAUUCUGGCUGAUGCAGCAGCGUUCGCUCGCGUUCCGAUGUGUUAAAGAGAAAGUUCUGCUUUCUUAUUUUAAAGGCGACAGGAGAGGCUUUCGGAAAAAUCGUCUUGGUGUCAAUAAUUUCUACGGCGGGAGAACGACCGUGCUUUAAACGGCAAAGUAAAUCAUAAGAAUCGCGUGCAACAAGGCGGUUCGUGUUUCCGUAAAUCUGUAAAGCCGUCCACCCGACGCGCGGUGCUCCUUCGAAUCGUUUAAAAAAAAAAAAAAACGUUUAAAAAAAAUUGGCCACGAUACAGUUUGCGUCUACACGGGAUUUCAAUCGUACGUAGACGCGGAACCGAUCGUGCUUGUCAAAAGAAAACGAGCUUCUCAACGGAAAGGGGACGAGAGGAGGGAAGAAACCUCGGUAGCGUUUAAAGCUGCUCUGCCAAUCACGCGAUUGUGUCAGGCGUCGUCUUGUUUACGUGGCAUUUAAAAAUUGCAUCGAAAUCACCGGCGCUUCGCCGUUUGAUCGGCAGGAUUAAUUGCCCUUCACUUCUUUCGCGGUAACCCAAAUUUCGACGUCGAUCCGUCCGUCCGUCGUGGCUCUCAGGCACCCGGUCGUCUGUCGCCUGUCGACUGUCGUCGUCGUCGUCAUCGUCGACGACGCGCUCGCUGCCGUUAAUUACAGAAACUCCCGUAUCCAUAUUCACGUGAUUACCGGAAGACGGCGGAUUCGUUCUGGAUAAGACUUCGCGUGGCGUGUGUCUGCCGCGAGAUUGAGUUCGACUCAUCUCGAAAUGCUUGUAGCGACUAUCCUAUUCGUACAUAGUUGAGUGGCGCGGCGGCGGGUACAUAGAUAGGGGAGACGCGGCGGCGGGGCGGGGAGGGAGGGGGAGGGCGGGCGACAGAAGAGAGAAGUGAAGAGAAAAGGGAGGUAGGGGGUGGACCCAUGUACGCCGUGUAUCUAUUUGCAGACACAGAUAAACACGGAUAGAACCAACACCCCGAUACACCCCGGGACAGAGCGAGAGUGUUCUUAUAGUGGAACUUAUUGAUCCAACAAAACUCAUUUCAAGAUACAGUGCGAAGUCUCCAAGAUACUGCUCUCUCCUACUUCUCUCUUUCUCUCUCCCUCUCUCCCGCUCUCUCUUUCUCUUUCUCUUUCCCUCCCUUCCGUCCCACCACGUCCCGCACCUUUCCACUCCACCCGAUUCCCUCCCGCCGCGACCCCCCCUUCGUCCACGAUCCUCUCACCGUUCGACGCCCCAUCCGCACGACGGCUCUGCUCUGACUCCCGUAUCGUACAUCCAAGACGUUCCCUAUACGCGUAAGUACGUGUAUAUAUAUAUGUAUGUAUAUAUAUGUACACACGCGGAGCGAUUAAUGCGCGCGCGGAGAUACAAAUAGGAUUUCGAGAAACGAAAUGGCACUCUUUCGAGCCGCUUCGAUUCGACCGAAACGGAAAACCUGACGCGUGGAAUGAAUCCAGAUCGCUUAACGACGUGGACGACACGUACCAGAGAAAUCGUAUUAUCGCAAUCGCUACGGUUAGAUUAUCGCUCCGCGUUAUGUACAAUUUUACUUGGUUGAAAUUUUUCGACGAGUGCACACGCGCACAUGUCCGUUUCCGUGCGCUCUUACAAGAAAUGGUUCAUCUUUGCGAGAGGUGCAUAGAUUCGUUUAGGAUCUCCUAGGGGGGAAAAGUUAAUAAUCUGACUCAACGCGUGACCUUGUACUCCGGCGCCUUCUCUCUCGGCUUUCACCUUUCCUCACCCGCCUCUCGCCCAAAAUCCAAAGUUUCCUCGAGCAACUCGACACUGGAAGCAAUUUUGGCGUCGACUAACCCCCACCACUUUGCUCGCUCAUUCACCUAGCCCUCCGCCGAGUAGUAAAGGAAAGUGCAUAAAGUUGUAGAAUGUCGCUGCUCGCCUGCAUUGCUCGCUCCUCGCUCGCAUCAGGAGAAAACAAUUCCAGCUCUCGCCUUUCGUCUACCGGCUCGAUAUUUCUGACACAUUUCUUAUGCGAUUUCCUUUCUUUUUUUUUGUGUACAUUUUUGCGAUGGAAGAUCCUUCUCGUAUCAAAAUUUUCUUUUUUUUGCUUCACAACGUAAGAACGCGACCAAAUGAAAACGGGUGACAAUAAAUAUUCAGCUAAUACGCCUUCCUUCGAGUUUCAUAAAGUAUUCGCGUGUCUUAUCUCUUGGCGCGUUUUCUUUUCCUUUUUCUUCUAUUGACUAUUAUUUAUCGUGCGAGAGGGUACUUUCGUGCUAAUGGAUCUUCGUCGCCACGCGUGUGCAACAAUAUUUGAAUCAACGGGGAAACGAGCAAACAAAUGAAGAAACUUACGAUUGCGUAAAACUGCGAAGUGUCUGCGGUUUGUUUGUCGGCGGGAGCAUUUCGAGGUAAAGGCCUAGAGAAAGAGGGAGCGGAAGUGAGACGGCGCGAGACGGAGGCGGCAGAGAAAGAGGGCGGAAGGGUGUCGGGGUUGAGAAAAGGAUGACGGUGAGAGGAGGCUGAGGAAAGGGGGUUUAGGUAGGUGAGUCGCGAAGGAUGGGCGAGAGGUUGCGCGGGCGGCAGGUGGGGGAGGGAGGGUGGUAAAGCCGUAGGAGGAGGUGGAGGAGGAGGAGGAGGAGGAGGAGAAGGUGGAAGAGACAGAGAAGGUUGGAAAAGGGGCGGAAGGGGUGGAAGGCCACGAAUGUCGGAGGGAAAAGAGGGAAAGAGGAUGGAGCGGGCGGGCGGGCGAGAGGAACGCCGGGAGAGGGAAGGAGGAGAGUGAGUCGGAGGAGAUAGAUGUAUGUAGGAGGGCCGCUCGAUACAGCUCCAGCAACCCCCUCCUCCUCCACCUCCUCCUGAAGCCAAGCAUCGCAUCGCGAGGUUAAAGUGAGAAAAGUCAACUCCAGUCACUCGGCGAGUCCUUCCGCGCUGGAACAUCGGGACUAAGUGACCAAGUAGCAUUGCUAAGCCGACAAACGGCUUAAGGAUCACCCGCCUAAAGGGCCGCCUUUGUUUGCCGGCAUCCAAGGAGACUCUCUUUCGCGUCUUUCUGCGUGUCUUCUUGUUAUUCCGUCAACUUUCAAAGGGCGGCAUCGCGCCGAAGAGGCGAACGGCGGCGGUCGGCACGCGGCGAAUUUGAUAACAGUCGCCGAGCGUGACGAGAAGAGAAGCGAAAUUGUUACUUCGAAUUCCGUAACGGAGAAUCUCAUGGCGUGUUCAAAAUUGACGGAACGGCGGCGCGCGUACUAACAGUCAUCGUCGCCGCCCUCGAAUUCAACGAGAAUACGAAUAGUAGCUAGUGGUAGCUACGAGCGACGCAGCCUUUCUCCCCUUCCCCCUCCCCCCCUCCCGUCGACGCAGUCCACCGCCACUUAUCGAGAGACUUUUAAACCCACUUUCCCGAGUUGGCUGGCUUUCAAAAUUCGAGUCGAGAGGCAUGCUUGCGCUGGCAGGGACCUGCCAGCCGGAGACCUGCUGGCUUGUCACUUGGCUGGUUAUCCAGGCACUUCCAUGCCCGGCCACGCGGAUACGAGUGCAUAAACAUACGAGCGAGCGCCAUCCUAGCUAAAGAGUACCUUUAUCUCUAGCGAGCCGCUUCCACCCCCCGCCUCUCCCCCUAGCUGUACCUUUCACCCACCCACGUUCUCUUUCCCUCUAUCCUCCUAUUUUUCUCUUUCUCUUCCCUUCCUUACGCCCACCACUCUCCCUCUUCCUCACCCUGUUUUCCUCUCGUUUUCUCUCUUUCUCCCUCCCUCUCUGUCUCCCUACAUGGAACCACCAUUCUCCUCGUGUGACGCUGCCGGCGUUCAGGGCAGGAGGAGGAUGAGGAGGAAGCUCACGUAGGUUACUCCUUUCUGCCGGCAGAGGAUAUUGUGAUUUUAGCGUCUGUGUAAUUAUGGAAAUUAGCGACAUGGAAAGCCUAGGAUAAAAGGGUUGAUUAUAAUCCGGGCGCGGGAGUGAGGACCGACCUGAGCGUCUCGCUCCUCCGCGUGACCGUAGAUUAAAACGCUCCUUCUACACUCGCGCCUUUACUUCCACCAACUACCCCUAUCCUCCGCCCGCUGCACAUCCACCUAACCCCUCGCGCUGCGUCCCUCAUAUAACCCCUAUGGACUCUGAGAACCGUCCGCUCCUUCCCCCUCGCGCUUUCGUCGCGAAUUCUGCGCUAUCAUCCACCCUGUAUCCAGAAUCACUGGCGAUAUUAGGAUCGAGUUUCCUCUGCUUUGUAUACGCGCUUACCAGCUGGAGGCGUUUAGAAUUUCGUCUGCUGGGAGAUGAAUUAUAAAUGACACUUCUCUUUAUCAAGGCGCGAAGUGCGUCCCUUAGAAGUCGCGCGCAUUAACGUCGCAAGUACGUUUCGUUACGCGACGGCAUACGUCACGUCAUCAGUAAAUUCAUUAACAAUUCCACGUUACUAGAAUAUUGACAAACCCGGGAGUAUCAAAGAAAUUUCGAUACGUCGUCACGCGAGAUAUAUCUACGUAACCGCUUUCCGCCGCCGCGCCGCGCCGCACCGCGCCGCGCCGCGCCGCGCCGGGGAGAUUAAUCUCCAGUCUCGCAAAACACAAUAAGUCAGUCGACCGUCUGCGUCGGUGCCUUCGCCCUUCCCUCCUCCCCCACGCGUUUUCGGGGUUGUGCGAGAGAACGGCGGAGGAAAAAAAAGCGAGAAAGGAAAGAAGAAAAAAUGGCGAACCCAACGAAUUGCCUGCCACGAGGUUGGCUGGUCGGGUUGGGGUGCAAUCGCAAUCCAACCCUACGGUAGCACCGGAGCGCUUUUCACCCCCGCGCGCAUCGCCCGCGACAUUGGCGUAGAUGCGCGCACCCUCUUCCUCUCGCUCUCUUCCUUCCUCUCCCUCUCGCGUUCCCGUUCGCUCCCACUUUGAUCCUCCCGCCGUCACUCCCUACCUCCUCCUAUUCCUCCUCACGCUCUCUCGUUCUCUCCACGACGCUUUUUCCCAUCUGGCUAUUGGACUACCGCGGUGUUUCAAGCGGCGGGCAGGAACCUAUGAUGUGAUCGGGUAUCGAAUAUCGGCUGGCUCUCCUAUUGGUCGUUCACCGCGCACGGUCGCAGCAGCACCGGCGCGGCAGUUACGACUGAUUUGUUACGUAAAAACGUCGAUAGCUUCUAUACCCUCUCUUGUCCCACCCUUCGGUUCCCACCUCUCGCACAGCCGCCCUCCAUCCCGCCGUGCCCUGCUCGCUCGCCACCCACCUUGCCUGGCCACCCCUUCGACGGUCCUCGACAUACCGCCACCGCCCCCAACGGGUUCCGCUUGUGAUAGAGAAAGGAACGAAAUAGGAAGGUAGAGACAGAGAGGGAAAACGCUCUUCUUUUUUAUCGGCGCCGUGCGUCGCUGCUUGCUCGUUCGGCUGGGUGCGAACGCAUUGUCGAAGAAAUGGCCGGUAGACGAGACGACGUGCCUCAUCAUUUCGCGUCAACAUUGCAUUUCGCCUAAAUUUUCAUCAUCAUUCAACAAACUGGCGAUAAAUCGAUAAUAACGAAUAAGAACGUGACGCACAAUUAUCAUACGUCACGUAAUUAUAAAUGUAAUUUUAAUAAAUCCUUAAUAUUAUGGUCCCGUAAUAUAUUACAUUUUUAUACCAAAA